rnacentral:rRNA from 1 species
AACGAACGCUGGCGGCAUGCCUAACACAUGCAAGUCGAACGAGACCUUCGGGUCUAGUGGCGCACGGGUGCGUAACGCGUGGGAACCUGCCCUUAGGUUCGGAAUAACUCCCCGAAAGGGGUGCUAAUACCGGAUAAUGUCUUCGGACCAAAGAUUUAUCGCCUUUGGAUGGGCCCGCGUUGGAUUAGCUAGUUGGUAGGGUAAAAGUCUACCAAGGCGACGAUCCAUAGCUGGUCUGAGAGGAUGAUCAGCCACACUGGGACUGAGACACGGCCCAGACUCCUACGGGAGGCAGCAGUGGGGAAUAUUGGACAAUGGGCGAGAGCCUGAUCCAGCAAUGCCGCGUGAGUGAUGAAGGCCUUAGGGUUGUAAAGCUCUUUUACCCGGGAUGAUAAUGACAGUACCGGGAGAAUAAGCUCCGGCUAACUCCGUG